rnacentral:rRNA from 1 species
GAUGAACGCUGGCGGCGUGCCUAAUACAUGCAAGUCGAGCGAACAGACGAGGAGCUUGCUCCUCUGACGUUAGCGGCGGACGGGUGAGUAACACGUGGAUAACCUACCUAUAAGACUGGGAUAACUUCGGGAAACCGGAGCUAAUACCGGAUAAUAUAUUGAACCGCAUGGUUCAAUAGUGAAAGACGGUUUUGCUGUCACUUAUAGAUGGAUCCGCGCCGCAUUAGCUAGUUGGUAAGUUAACGGCUUACCAAGGCAACGAUGCGUAGCCGACCUGAGAGAGUGAUCGCCCACACUGGAACUGAGACACGGUCCAGACUCCUACGGUAGGCAGCAGUAGGGAAUCUUCCGCAAUGGGCGAAAGCCUGACGGAGCAACGCCGCGUGAGUGAUGAAGGUCUUCGGAUCGUAAAACUCUGUUAUUAGGGAAGAACAAAUGUGUAAGUAACUAUGCACGUCUUGACGGUACCUAAUCAGAAAGCCACGGCUAACUACGUG